rnacentral:rRNA from 1 species
CCUACGGGAGGCAGCAGUGAGGAAUAUUGGUCAAUGGGCGCGAGCCUGAACCAGCCAAGUCGCGUGAAGGAUGACUGCCCUCCGGGUUGUAAACUUCUUUUAUAAAGGAAUAAAGUGAGGCACGUGUGCCUUUUUGUAUGUACUUUAUGAAUAAGGAUCGGCUAACGCCGUGCCAGCAGCCGCGGUAAUACGGAGGAUCCGAGCGUUAUCCGGAUUUAUUGGGUUUAAAGGGAGCGUAGAUGGGUUGUUAAGUCAGUUGUGAAAGUUUGCGGCUCAACCGUAAAAUUGCAAUUGAUACUGGCAGCCUUGAGUACAGUAGAGGUGGGCAGAAUUCGUGGUGUAGCGGUGAAAUGCGUAGAUAUCAGGAAGAACUCCGGUUGCGAAGGCAGCCUACUAAACUGCCACUGACGUUGAGGCUCGAAAGUGUGGGUAGCAAACAGGAUUAGAUACCCUUGUAGUC